rnacentral:misc_RNA from 1 species
GUUCAAAUAUUAAAUCUUCAUUGCUGCCUUGGAAUAACGGUUAGGAUGACUAGUUCACCUGAUCCACUAGGUACCCAACCCAAUUUGAUUUGAAUGGAUUUGGAUUUUAACGAAUCCGUUGAGUUGGUGAGGUGGGUAUGGGCAGUGAAGGUUCAACCUAAAUCAGGUUUGGGUCUGGGGAAUUUUUUUUUAUCCUUUAAUGUG